UACGGAGGGUGCGAGCGUUGUCCGGAAUCAUUGGGCGUAAAGAGCUCGUAGGCGGCUUGUCGCGUCGGCUGUGAAAUCCCAUGGCUCAACUGCGGGUCUGCAGCCGAUACGGGCAGGCUAGAGUUCGGUAGGGGAGACUGGAAUUCCUGGUGUAGCGGUGAAAUGCGUAGAUAUCGGAGGAACACCUGUGGCGAAAGCGGCUCACUGGACCAUUACUGACGCUGAUGGCUCGAAAGC
rnacentral:rRNA from 1 species